rnacentral:miRNA from 1 species
UUGGUCAACGUUCAACACAGCA